AUGCAGUCGAACGAAUGCCGCGGGGGUAACUCCGCGGCGGAAGUGGCGAAAGGGGCAGUAAGGCAUGGGUAACCUGCCCCGGACUUCGGGAUAGCCUUCCUAACGGAUGGGUAAUACCGAAUGCCGUGACGUGGGGGCAUCCUCGUGUCACGAAAGCUCCGGCGGUCCGGGAGGGGCUCACGUGGUAUUAGCUUGUUGGUGAGGUUACGGCUCACCAAGGCCAAGAUGCCUAGCAGGUGUGAGAGCACGACCUGCGCCACUGGCACUGGGACACUGGCCAGACUCCUACGGGAGGCUGCAGUCGAGGAUCUUCGGCAAUGGGCGAAAGCCUGACCGAGCGACGCCGCGUGUGCGAUGAAGGCCUUCGGGUUGUAAAGCACUGUCGUGGGGGAGAAGGCCCGCGAGGGUUGAUCGACCCCAGGAGGAAGCUCGGGCUAAGUUCGUGCCAGCAGCCGCGGUAAGACGAGCCGAGCGAACGUUGUUCGGAAUCACUGGGCUUAAAGGGCGCGUAGGCGGGCGAUCAAGUCAGGGGUGAAAGUCUCCAGCUCAACUGGAGAAGUGCCUCUGAUACUGGCCGUCUCGAGGGAGAUAGGGGCGUGCGGAACUUCCGGUGGAGCGGUGAAAUGCGUAGAUAUCGGAAGGAACACCGGUGGCGAAAGCGGCGCGCUGGAUCUCUUCUGACGCUGAGGCGCGAAAGCCAGGGGAGCGAACGGGAUUAGAUACCCCGGUAGUCCUGGNCCUAAACGAUGGGUACUAGAUUGUGGGCUUACAUGGGCUCACAGUC
rnacentral:rRNA from 1 species